AUGGUUUUCCCAGGAAGGGGAAGGAUCCGUGUCGAUGCUGACAGUUUUCAGAGGGUAUUUGAUCUCCCAAACAGGGGUCAAAAAGUCAGAUAUUUAGUUGACAAGGAUGCCACUAGGAGAUUCAGACAGGCUUUCAACAUAACUAGAAAUUCUCAUCCCCAGAUCACUACAUGGCUCAAGAUGAUUCAGGAUAUGGCUGGAAGAACGGAUGACACAUUCUUUAUGGCCUGGCUUGCGAUACUAUACCUUGAUGCGCUCGUACAUGACAUCCCAGUAAGCAACUGCGCAAUACGAUCGAAUGCAUGGGAUAGUACUCUAAUUUCCAAGGUGAUCAAGAAGGAUACUAUCUCUCCUGGUGUGUUCAGCAAAUUACAACUUAAAGAGGAGUAUAGAGGCACAGAGCAGACACCACUGUUUGGUGGAAUUUUGCAAGCUGAAGCAUUCAUGGCAUCCAAGUUACCAAUAACCUACAAUCCGCAGAAAAAGGCAAAGAUUGCGAAAGUGGUCAAUGAGCUGUGCAAGGCUGUAACUGAACAGGUUGGCACCUUCAUUGAAGCAGUUGUCAAGAUCGAUGACGAGGAACCAGAUAUUGAUCCUUACGUACAGCAGCCAUCAAUGCAAACUGGGGCGACACGCCGUGCUCCAAAAAGAAAGAGAUGA
rnacentral:rRNA from 1 species